rnacentral:piRNA from 1 species
UAGUUGUGAUUUACGUACUAG